rfam:Sus scrofa chromosome 15.
CUGUCUCUUGUUUCGACAGUGUUUGGAUGGAACAG